GAGAGUUUGAUCCUGGCUCAGAUUGAACGCUGGCGGCAGGCCUAACACAUGCAAGUCGAGCGGAUGAAGGGAGCUUGCUCCUGGAUUCAGCGGCGGACGGGUGAGUAAUGCCUAGGAAUCUGCCUGGUAGUGGGGGAUAACGUCCGGAAACGGGCGCUAAUACCGCAUACGUCCUGAGGGAGAAAGUGGGGGAUCUUCGGACCUCACGCUAUCAGAUGAGCCUAGGUCGGAUUAGCUAGUUGGUGGGGUAAAGGCCUACCAAGGCGACGAUCAGUAACUGGUCUGAGAGGAUGAUCAGUCACACUGGAACUGAGACACGGUCCAGACUCCUACGGGAGGCAGCAGUGGGGAAUAUUGGACAAUGGGCGAAAGCCUGAUCCAGCCAUGCCGCGUGUGUGAAGAAGGUCUUCGGAUUGUAAAGCACUUUAAGUUGGGAGGAAGGGCAGUAAGUUAAUACCUUGCUGUUUUGACGUUACCAACAGAAUAAGCACCGACUAACUUCGUGCCAGCAGCCGCGGUAAUACGAAGGGUGCAAGCGUUAAUCGGAAUUACUGGGCGUAAAGCGCGCGUAGGUGGUUCAGCAAGUUGGAUGUGAAAUCCCCGGGCUCAACCUGGGAACUGCAUCCAAAACUACUGAGCUAGAGUACGGUAGAGGGUGGUGGAAUUUCCUGUGUAGCGGUGAAAUGCGUAGAUAUAGGAAGGAACACCAGUGGCGAAGGCGACCACCUGGACUGAUACUGACACUGAGGUGCGAAAGCGUGGGGAGCAACAGGAUUAGAUACCCUGGUAGUCCACGCCGUAAACGAUGUCGACUAGCCGUUGGGAUCCUUGAGAUCUUAGUGGCG
rnacentral:rRNA from 1 species